ACUUCGCGCUUAAUGUCAAAUUUGACGCUCAAUAGAUCUAUCACGUUAGCAUAAUACAAUUCUUUUACACAAGUUUUAUUGAAAUCGUGUGUUUUUUUCUGUAUUUUUUGCAUGACAAUCGUUAUUCGAUAUGGUUCAGUGUGUUGCUUUCGGGUGCAAAGAACGUGAGGAAAAGGGAAAGAAGGUUUUUUCCGUUUUCCGAAGGAUGAUGUUACUUGUAAGAAAUGGAUAAAGGCAGUCAAUUCCAGGAGAGUAAUCGAUGGGAGACUGGUUGAUUUCAAACCGAGUAAGGCAUCUAGAUUGUGCUUGAAACAUUUUGACGACAGUUUUUUUUUUCAUCCUCCAAGUGUUAUGGCUAGUGUUGGAAUGGAGUUAAAGCUCAAGCUCAAAGCUGGUGCAAUUCCAACGAUAUUUCCGGAAACAGAGGCAUACAAAGCUUCAAAGAAAGCUCCACUAAAUCCCAACGACCUUGGACCAGGGAAGCACAACCGAGCGAAGUAUGGCGCCUAUUCUAAAAGGAACCAGAAACCGGACCCAUAUUCAUCAUGUGUGGAAGAGCCAGAUGUCUGUGAAGAAAUGUCUUGUGAACAGUCGCCUGUUCGGAUCAGUGAUCCUGAAUCACAUUUUGAUAAUGUGUAUUCGCAGUCAUCACAGACAUCUGAGACUACAUCUUGCUGCUUUGCAUUCCGUGGCAAAUGCAAACCGCAAGCAGGCUGAGACCAGACAGUGGGAAAAAAAGAUACAGACUCUCCUAUCCUAAGUACAAGGCUGGACACCAUGUGGUUAAAGCAGUUAAAGAGAAUUGCACUUAUGACUAUGUUGAUGAACUAAUGGCAGGGCUGCUUAGGAUGAAAGGAGUACAAGAGCGAUGCCAAUGCAAGGGCUGCCUCUGGCAACAUUCUGUUUUCACCGCCACCCCUGUCUUCAUCUGCAAACAGAAUCCUGAAGUC